rnacentral:tRNA from 1 species
AGCCUUGUAUUUAAAAUUAUAAUAUUAAAUUGCAAAUUUAAAGUUGAUGAAGUCUAAGGCUU